AUUGAACGCUGGCGGCAGGCUUAACACAUGCAAGUCGAGCGGAGACUUCGGUCUUAGCGGCGAACGGGUGAGUAAUACCUAGGAAUCUGCCUAUUAGUGGGGGAUAACGAAUCGAAAGGUUCGCUAAUACCGCAUACGUCCUACGGGAGAAAGGGGGGGAUCUUCGGACCUCUCGCUAAUAGAUGAGCCUAGGCCGGAUUAGCUAGUUGGUAGGGUAAAGGCCUACCAAGGCGACGAUCUGUAGCUGGCCUGAGAGGGGGAUCCCCCACACUGGUACUGAGACACGGACCAGACUCCUACGGGAGGCAGCAGUGAGGAAUAUUGGACAAUGGGCGAGAGCCUGAUCCAGCCAUGCCGCGUGCAGGAAGACGGCCCUAU
rnacentral:rRNA from 1 species